rnacentral:rRNA from 1 species
UACGAAGGGGGCUAGCGUUGUUCGGAAUUACAGGGCGUAAAGCGUGCGCAGGCGGCUGCUCAAGUCAGGGGUGAAAGCCCAGAGCUCAACUCUGGAAUUGCCUUUGAGACUGAGUGGCUUGAGUACGGGAGAGGUGAGUGGAAUUCCCAGUGUAGAGGUGAAAUUCGUAGAUAUUGGGAAGAACACCGGUGGCGAAGGCGGCUCACUGGCCCGUAACUGACGCUCAUGCACGACAGCGUGGGGAUCAAACAGG